UGAGAGUAGUUUUCAGUUGGAUUCCAACCUCAGCCAUUGGUUUAGGACGUAAAGGUAGAUUAGUUUCGGGUAAUAAAUGGAGCUUCUAUGUGAUUACUGCGGAAGGGAGAGGGCAGUAGUCUACUGCAAAUCGGAUACAGUUAGUCUGUGCUUGAACUGUGAUGGAUUGGUGCACUCUGCUAAUGCAAUCUCACAGAAGCACCUUCGUUCUCUCAUUUGCAACAAUUGCAACUCACAACCUGCAGUCAUUCUAUGUGUUGAAGAUAAACUGUUUCUAUGUCAGAGCUGCAGCAGUGACGGGAAUUGCUGCUCAGGUUGUGGACAUCGUCUUCAGACAAUAAAUUGUUACUCAGGAUGUCCCUCUGCCGCAGAGCUCUUAAAAAUAUGGGCUUCUAUCCUCGAUGCUUCAUUGCCACAGGAAGAUGUCAAUAGACUCGAUACUAGCUGGGAACCACAAGAGAUGCUGUCUAUGGAUGAGAAUACCAUGAAGAACUGUUGGGAACCUAAACAACAGGGGUUAAUGGUAAACACAGAGCAGAAUGAACCGGAACCUGGUCUUCCGUCUGAAUCUUGGAUAGGUUCAUCUUCAGAGUUUCCUCCUAACGAAAAGUUGGGACUGUGUGGAGGAGAUAAACCACCAUUACACCCUGAGAACUCAGACGUGGCAAAGGACUGUUCUUCACUGAAGGAUCUUGAAAUUCAUGGUCUCAGUGACCUUUGUGAUGGUUUCAGCAUUGAUGAUGUUGGCUUAAUUUUUGAGAACGAAAGUGACAUAUUUGGGUGCUCACAAAGUCAUCCCAGUUAUGUUUUUGAUGACGUAGCAGUUGGUUGCUUAUUUAUGGACAAAAACUUCUCGGUGGCUGAUUCUGGUGGUCCCAGUGAGGAUAUCAUAGAGGCAUCAUCAUCAGAGCAACAUGACCGUGUGGCCAUUCAGUCCUCUUGUGCUGCAGGAUUGGCCUCUGUGGUCCAGGCUGUGAAUAGUGGAACAGAUCGAGUAUUUCUAAUUCCUGGCGGCAGCAGAAGCAUCAACAUAUGUUUUCCAACUGGACAAGUCCACUCAAGCAUGCCCAACCUUACUAGUGAAAGUAGUGUUGCUGAUUAUGAACAUUGUGGAGUAUCACCAGUGUUUUUAACAAGCGGAUCACCAUGGGAUUUAAAUUUUGAAGGCACUUGCCCACAGGCGAGGGACAAAGCGAAGCUCAGAUAUAAUGAAAAGAAGAAAACACGCACGUUUGGGAAACAAAUAAAAUAUGCUUCCCGAAAAGCCAGAGCAGAUACCAGAAAGCGUGAGAAAGGUAGAUUUGUGAAGGCAGGUGAAGCUUAUGACUAUGAUCCUCUUAAAGCAAGAAAAUUCUGAGACAGAUUACGAUUCUUUUUCCCACAGCAUAGCCUUAUUUAUUAAGGUCCUCCUUUGUAUUUGAGCAUCCUUCAUCAGACAAAGACGACAACUUCGUGACUUCAGAUAGAUCAAUGUAAAUUGGGUUUUCUGAGGAACUGUUAGGUGCAGAAUGGAUAUCCCUCGGCUAAUGCUGUCGGGAGUUUUUCAGUGGUGCUGAUCAACCUGCUUUUUGAGCGGAGUCCUCAAGUGCAGGUUCUUUUGAUUGAUUGCAUAUAGAUAAUUAGAUGAUAUGAGCUACACUUCUUUUGUCCUACAAAAAGAACUGAUCUCUUUUGAUGCUAGUAAGGGGGGUGAAAGAUGUGAUAAUUCAGCCCAAAACUCAAUCAAGAUGAAAUGAAGCACACCAAGUGAAGGCAAUGAUGUUCGCUGGAGCCCAGGAAACAGCUAUAGUGUUGAAAAUCUUUCUGAAAAAUAGACACCCACAAAAGAUAAAAAAAAAAAGAUGAUUCUGUGUGGUAACAAUCUGAAUUUUCUGGGACAUACAAGGGUGCCGAAACAGUUGAGGUUGUCAGAGCAUUAGUGAGACAAGUUAUACAUUAUCCAUGAAAAACUACAAGCACAGAAGAGUUGGUCAUUUUCCCAAGGAUCUUCUUCAGCUGAUAAAGAUUUGGCUCUUGUCCCUUCCACAAAAUUUCUGCAGGAACAGCACCCACAUCUUUGGACCUACUUCUUCUCUGAUGAUCUGUUUGGUGCAUUUCAAAUUCCAAACUUUACGAUCUAACACACAAUGUAAGAGAUCCCAAGAGGUUUCUUUGAAGUGUGCAUAUUGUGGCAAUGAAAAAGCUGCCUCCAGUCACUCAGCCCUGAUGAUUCUAUGAUUCCCCCAUUUCGAACAUCACGUCCACUUCAACCGAUUCCAGAAUGGAAGGCAAGCAAACCUCCAGAAUUAUCUGCUGAUGUUGAUUCUCAAGGAGGUCUAGAGCUUCUGGAUGUGUAGGAGGAAAUGUAAGCAAUUCUUGUGACUAUAAAGUAAAAAUUUCGACAAACUUACAGUGGAAAAUUUUUGAAGGAGAUGUAGAGGAGGGGCUUCUGUAACUUCCUCAGAAAUUUAUAGGUGUUGGAUGAUGCAGAUUCCAAAGAUAACUGCAGUGAAUUUGGGUGCGAGAAUGAUGGAACACCUCAGCUAAUAUUGUGGUGAUGGACAAGUUCCUUAUCAUGCAGGGAAGUCGGAAACUGUGAACAAGAGAGUAACCAGGAAAAAAAAAACCCGGCAAGCUUGAGAACUCUAUAAAUGGAAAGAAAUCAAGCACUAGGAACUUUCCUGUCUCCUUUUACAUUUCCUUUCCUAUUCCUCUGACUGGUGUAGGAUAAUGUCGCCCUUGGUAAAACCAUUGUCCUCAGAUUCCAGUUUGAUGCUCUACUAAAAUUAAUUUUUCUUCUCCAGCUGGGACUACAUAUCUCUCUCUUGAGGUCCUCAGAUGCCAGUAUGAUGCUCUACUCA